rnacentral:tRNA from 1 species
GGUUUUAUAGUCAAAUUUAUGAUAUUAAAUUGCAAAUUUAAAGUUGAAUUUAAAAUUCUAGAACUU